GAUAAAUAGCCGCCAGCAAUUGAGCGUAUCAUUUUUCUUUAACUUCUACAUAGAAAUUUCAGCCGAUUUUUCAUAUCCUCGGUAUACACUUUGCAAAAGUUCUUGCCUUUCAUUCUUGAUUGCCUAUUAUUCCCAACUCUCUCUUUCUAUCGCUGCCUUUCUAUCUCCGUGCGACACUAACUUCUCUGAUAAGCCGAAGUGGUGGAGAAUCGAGCGAACACAAUUUCAAGAUAAAAAAAAAUAAUAAUAGAAAGAAAAAACAACAAUACGACAUGGGAAAAAACAUGAAAAUGAAGUGAACAAAUGUUAGAAGGAAAAGAACAAUAAAAACAUUUUCUCUUUCUUAUUCCACGAAUUACAGUUCGUUCGCUUUAAACAAAAACUUCAACUCGAUUCAUUCUUCUACAAAAUAACUGAGCCAAAAAAAAACCACUUUCUGGAACUGGCUGUUGAAAAAUGUGAGACAAACAACAAAAAACGUUAGCAUUAAGAAAUAAAUUACAAGUACCUUAAAGUUGACCACCACAAAAUUGAAUAAUCAUAUUAAACAAAAGCACGCUUCAAUGAUAAAUUCUCUUGGAAUCUCGUGGGCAACGGGAUUUGCAACGAAACAUUUUAAAAUUUAUCUUUGUCCAUCUACUUUGAAGCAGAUGGAUUUUCCGAACGAUUCAUUGAGAUUGUGUUCCAUCCGUUUUUUCAUAUAAUCUCUCAAAUAAAGUGGCAAUUGAAAGUGUCGGAAAAAGUAAACAAAAACUUUGGAAAAAAAACGUAUACACAGUGGGGACAAACCGAGGAAAAAUGGAGAGUGAGAGAAUACAUGAAUUUUCCGUUAAGACAUGCAAUCAGCUUUAGUUCGGAAAAAAUAGUGAAAUUUAACUUAGAAAAAUAAAAAACCGAACACGAAACCAAAACUCAAUUACCGACUGUGACAUUGUGAAAAAUUAAUAGUGUUUGAACUAGAAAUAUAUCCGAAGUUGCAAUAGAUAUUAAUUGUAAACAGUCGUCGCAUGCACUGAUUAUAAUCCUUUUAUGCUCGUGUGUCAUUUUAAUUUGGCUUUUUUAAUACUAUUCAAUGAAUAGAUAGUUUUUGUCUGUGUGUUGACUAUUUUGUUGAAAAUGAAAAUAAAACAGAACAUAAAUGAACGGCAGACAUAAAAACGCUAAUGUUUGAAAUGUUCAUUUCACGCAUAUAUAGUAAAAAACAAAGUUAAUAAGUGUGACAAGAUAAAAAUGUAGUUGUUUUUUUAGAUAAAACCUCCGCCGAAUAAAAGUAAAAGAGGAAAAAAAGUGAAAGGAACCCAUGUGGAAACAAGCUGGAAAUAAUAUUGUUGUUUAUGUAUGCCACGAUCAAAUUGAAAUUUAUGCGGUUUUUAUGUGUUUUCUGAGAGUUGAAUUGAAAGCGAAGCAAGGUCAAACAGCACAAAAGUGCUGCACAUUAUUUGAUUAGUCUUUAACAAAGGGAAUUGAAAGCAGGCGAAGAAGAAAAUUCAUUAAGCAAGCAUACAUAAUGAAUUUGAAGUUCACCGAGUUUUUGAUUGGGUGCCAUGCAGCACACAUGGAAUGAGCAAAUGAAACGCUGUUUCGAAAACAAAGCCACGCCAAUAAAGUCGCGCAAGGUGAACAAAGCACCAGCUGUACUUCAAGUAUACCAUAAAAGGCGAAACAUGAGUGUGUGAAUUAAUAAUUUACCAAUUUUCGACCAAAUAAGAGACAGAAUUAAUUUAACCAGCUCGUUUGUAUUUGUUCGACACCGAAUUAUUGAUGCACUUGUAAACGGACAUAAAAAUGCAAACACAUAGACACACUGUUACAGAUGUGCAAAUAAUAUAUUGAUAAAUAGUGUCAUUGAUUUGUCAUUUGAGCAACAUUCAAUGAAAUACUUUGACCAUUUUCAAAACACCUUUAUAAAAUAAUGAUAUCCAGACUAAAAAGACCAAUUGAAUAUUUUAAAAACGUCUGAGUGCAAAUAAGCUUUUAAAAACGUCUGACAAAAAAAAAAAAAAAAACAAAUUAUCCUAGAAAAUCCCUUUGUUUUCUCAAAGUGAAUAUAAAAGGUUGACUUGAAUAUUGAGCAGAUUUAAUCAAAAUUGAUAAAUCAAGUGGCUGACUAUGAAACCAUAACGUUAUGAUCGAAUUUAAUACAAUAGUUCAACAAUAAAAACAAUUUCCGUCAUGGAAAAAAUUAUAAAUCUGAAUCGAUGUAGUCAGAACACUGAUGUGACCGAACACACUUAGACCAAAAACCUCAACGUGAUGCGUUUACACUAAAUCCAAAGCUAUAAUUUGAAUUGAAACAGGCUAAUUAACAAAAUCAAGAAACAAACAGAGAACCAUCACUCACAUAUAAAUUUUUAAUCGGAUCAAAUAUUAUGCUCAAGUAUUCGAAUAACAAACUGUUAGGCUAUGUUUGUGAUGCUGUCAGUUCGUACUACUUCCGUCAGUGAGCGGCACAACAACAAAGCGACGACAACAACAACAACGACAACUGCCACCACGACAACGACGAGCAAAACGACCAACACACAAUUCACGCAGACGAUCCAAAAUCAAAGUUCGGCUAUUACAUCAUCGUUGACCACUACAUUCGACCAUUUGCUGACCAAUAAAAUUAGCAUCGAACAUUUUUUCACCAAAUCUGUAUCAUUCGACAAAAACAUCAACCAAUCGAAUUUAUCGCUACUUCAACCGAACAAUUUGAAAGAACCACCAACACAGCAGACAUCAGUUGCAACGAUAUUAAACGAUUUGAGUCCAGCGCCGUCAAAAAUCCCAAAUCAAAAAAGCUUUAUUUCAACUAGCCAUAUGACCCACAAGGGAUUUCAAGAGAAUUCGCCGGACGUAAAGGCAAUGCGGUACUAUAGGCUUUGGAUUUACACAUGCAACGCUGUGCUAUUAAUGGCGGUCAUAAUAUUUUGUUGUAUAGCUGGUAAAGUCUUAUUAGCCGAUUACAGACGUUUGUUGAUACAUGGCCUGAAUUUGGGUCAACCGAGUUUCGUUUAUGCAUACUUGGCAUUGCUCAUACAAUCGGGAUUCUUACAAUUAGUCGGAUGCUUAGGUGCCUUACGUCUCUCAGAAAAAUUACUCAAUGCUUACUGGUUACUACUACUUGUACUUCUGAUUGGUGACGCGAUUCUGGGUAUAUUCUGGAUGUUUAAAUUUGAUCGAAUCAUGCACGAGCUACAGCCAAUGCUUAGAUAUCGCUUCGCCACCGAAUAUGGAACGUCAGUAGAUUUUAGUGAAUUAUGGGAUCGUCUGCAAAGCGAAGGUCGUUGUUGUGGCGUAUUUGGUCCGCAGGACUAUACGGCAAAUCGUUCACUUCCUUCAUCGUGCUGUUAUGUAUUACCUCCAGAUAUUAGCGAUCAAAUAUCGAUUUCAAAGCGACCAAUGGCAUCGGCAGUUGUAUUUCGUGAUGAUUCAACGGCUAAUGCACUCGCAUCACAAGCCAAAGCCAAUUUAACCGAAUUAACAGAUAUAACAUGGAAUCAUUUAGUUAAUGAUAAUAAAGACGAAAUCAAAAAAGCCGUGUGCCGGGCUAUCUAUCAACAAGGAUGCUUUGAUAAGUUGGUUGCGUGGCUACGUAACACUGCCGAUAUUCUAUUCGUGCUUGGCUAUUGUGUGAUAGCUUUUUUAAAAUUAUCGUUUUUGGGUAUUCUACGAUAUGAAAUCAAAGAAAUGAUCCAAAAAAUUAAACUGUUGCAACAGGAAAUGGCAUCCGAAGCGAUGAGCGGUGAUGGUGAAUCAAUGCAUCAUCAACAAACGAGUUGUGUUCUACUGCAAAUUCCCAGUACGACAGUGAAUGGUGGUAUGCAUGCUGAACGAAAAGUUGGCAAUCGAGAACGAAAUCGGAUUGGAUCGGGUGAAAGUGAACACGAGUCAUUGCUAUUUCAUGAAAAUACACCGAAAUACACUCGAAAUAAUCAAUUAAAUUUGUGCAGUGAACAAGACGAAGGUGAAAUUAGUGUUGGAGCAACGGCAACGCAUUCGGGCCGUCCAUUACAUGGUAAUAGCUAUGAACUAUCCGAAUUUGAUGCAAGAGGACCCACCUACAGAAAAUCUAAAUGGCCGUCAUUAUGAGAAAUUUUGAAGUUGAAACAGGCUUACAUAGCUAGAGCACGCAGCGAGUCCGAGCAUACAUUCCUAUAUACAUCAGCACGCAAACGGCCACAAAAAUCUGACUACGGUAUUACUUGGAACAGCUAUUCGGCGUGCGUUGGCGGAAGUACGGUCGGCGAUAUACACGUCGGCGAGAGAAAUAUCCGAGCACCGAAUAUGACGAGCCAAAUGUAAGGUUUUACAAGGCUACUGCCACUAGCGAAUGCGACUGCACCGAUAUCUAAUCUAAUUGUUUCAACGAAGUGAUGAAACAAAAACUAAAGAACCAUAAACACGACGAAAACGACAUAAACUCGUAUCUAAAUGUAUUCCAAUCUAAUAAAAACAACAUUAGUUUUGUAUCGAUCGAAAUGAACGUCAUAGUACGUUCGAAGAAGAAGACAAGCUAAAAAAAAUUAUAAGAAUUAUCGAGAUGUAAGAUUUGAUUUUUUGUUUUAAAAUUCUAACGAAAUUCAUAGACAUGAAAGAACAAACAGUCACAAAUCGAAUCUAGUAUGGAAAACAAGUUCAAAAAGACACACAAAAUUGAAUUCUUAAAGAAAUCUGGAAGAUUUAUGAACAAAAAUAAGAUUUUCGCUCUAUGACAAACGUCAUUUCAGCACAAAUAUAAAAAAAAACGCAGAAAAUGUAUGACAAAUAGCUCGAAGUAAAAAAAAUCUUAUAGUUUCUGUAGAAAAAUAUGAACGUAUUGAUUGAAAUGAGAAACAUAUGUAUUUGUAUGAUUUUUUUUAUCAAAAUCGAAAGCUACAAAUAUAACUGAUUCGCACUUGUAGUCACAACUGCGAGAUUGAAUAUAUAUAGAACAGCAUUGACUACGAAAUUGAAAAGCAUUGAUGAAUAGUUAUUGUGUGAAAAUAAAAUAAAAUGAAAAAAGGGGUAGCAGUCUAAGUUUAGGCAAAUCUCAAAUAGGCAAACCAAUUCAAAUUUCAGAUUCUCAAAGAAUUAUUCAAAAACAUUUUUUUAAAUGCUAAUUCGUAGUUUUCACUUAAAAUUCAUCCAUUUCAUACUUCAUUUUAGUUCUCGCUUGAAAUUAUUCAAAUCACACUAUAUUCGAUUGCCUUAAAUAGAGAUAUGUUGGUGAAAUACAAGGAUUGAAAAAAAAUAAACACGGACACAUAAAGAGAAGAAACAAUUUCAUUACGCUUAUUGUAUUUUACGAUAUUUUUUUCUAAAUGAUAAAAAUCUCCGACAAAAAUGGAGAGAAAGUUUCGUUCGAAUUUCAAAACUGCGAUUGAAUAAUCAAGAUUGAAAAGAACUUAAUUUUUUUUUUAAAUGAAAGAGUAAAUUUUGAAUACAAGUAAUGCAAGCAAGCAGGGCUUUUGUUUGAUAACAUAUAUAUUUAUAUGUUGCGGUUGAAAUAAAGGGAUAGGCGAAACGUCACAUAACUCUUUAGAAACUCCAAAAUAGUUCUACUGAUAAAACUUAUUACUGUUGCGUAUUUAACAUUGAACACACGAGAAAAAAAUGAAAAUAAAUCAACAAAAUGUCUAUAAACAUUUUUUGUUUCGUCUAUUGUAUUGCGGAUACAUCUUAAUCGGAAUUUCAUUUCGUUCGAAUUGGAUUUUCCGCGAGACACAGAGCACAGUCAGUAUAUCUUUGACAUAUAAGGUUGAACCAAAGCUGAGCUCAACUCUAUUUUUCUAUGUUAUGUUGGAUUUAUGAAAAUCGAAAUUUAUUUAAGCUACAAAAAACAAAAAUGAUCCAUUGUUGUUAAUCUGUUGAGUAUUUUUAUAUAGAAACUAAUAUAUUGAAUGUUCUCCCAUUGAUUUUAGGUAAGCUUAUUAUGUGUCCUUGAUAGGAGUCAACACAUUUAAAUAUCUAUAUAAAUAUAUAUACCGUUUCGGAGAGAUUUUUUAUAUCUUACUUCUCUCAAAAAACCCAUAUCAUUUUAGUAUACCGAGUAUGUUGAAGUUUUGAUAGAAAUUCAAUAUACGAUUAAAGAUACAUAUUUAAAUAGAUUUGUGAAAUGCCUUUGCUGAGGAACAACGAUGACGUCGACUAAUACCGGAAAGAAACAAGUGACCGAAUGAUGUUUUCUAAAUAAAAGUGUUUUUUUGCUGAAUACACGGUAGAAACACUCAUGCAUAAUUAUUCCAACGGAUUAAUCGAUAAAAAAUGUACUGUUUGAAUUUGACAUAGUCUGUUACACACAGAGACAGAAAAACAUUAAAAAAGGAGAGACAAAUGACAUUCGAUUAAACUAUUUAACAAAUCAGUUGAGUUAUACGUAAUUGAAUCAGUUAGAAUAUUUGUGACCAAACGAAAUUUGUUAAAAUAAAAGUGCAAUAUGCCCAUACAAAAAAAAAUGUAUGGGCAUGUUACACUUUUUUUACAAAUUUAUGGAGGUCAUUAAUACUUGUAUUCUAGCCGAUUCAAUUACUAAAACAAAAACAAAACUUCAAAAUUGCCGACAACCUACCUAAAGCUUAAAAAUAAUUUCAACGAACGAAAAAAAAAAAUGGUUUGUCGUCAUAUCGUUUUUAUUUAUACUUACACACACAAUCACAAUAAAUAUAGUAUUGUAUGUGUUCCUACUAAUUAUUUACAUUUAAUAUUGUACUUCUGUUGAUUGGGUGUCACCUAAACAAUGGCCGUACAAACUAAAAUCUAACUGACUAGCCACGCCAUCACAACGAACUAUUUGUAUUUUUGUUCGUUUUGAAAUUGUGAUCAUGUGAUACUGUUCAGUUGAGCGUUCUAGUACGUGUCCUUGUCCAUAAGUGCAUUUUUCUAAAUGAUUAUUUAAUAUUUAUAUCUAAGCUGAAUGGCACUCAUGCUGUAUUUCGACACGUUGGUAUGAUGAUGUAUUAAGAUAAAAGAAUGUAGUACGUUGAACACUGAGUAGUAAACAGAAUGAAGAAAGUCAAUAAGCAAAUGGAAAAUGCCAUAAAUUCAGUUGAUGUUUUCACCUAAAAAAAAUUGAUAACAACAAUGAAACGCAAAAAUAUUAAUUUCUAUUACCCAUCAAUACAUAUUCUAAAAAUCAAUUCUUUAGUUCAGUUGUUAUUACUAUUUAUAAAGAAUAUAAGAGAAUAUUAAGCUUGACUACAAUUCAUUUACAUUACAGAGUUUGCCAAUCGCACUAAUUAGAAGAAUAUGAACAAAAAACAUAUAUUAUUGACAUUUACUAAAUAAGCCAAACGAAAGCUAAAAAUACAUUUUCAAUUGUUUGGAAAAACGAUAAAAAAUUUUUUGUAAAUAUCCGCAUAAUCUCACUAUUUAUCUCAUGUUACGAAAACUUUACUUAAUAUUUAAGUAGUUAAAUCCAUUUGAAAAGCUUGUCUCAAACGAAACUGUUUUUUGUUCACUAUGUACAUUCAGUUUUUUCCUCAUUUGUAUAUAAAGAGCUUAAAAAAUAGUGCCUCAUAAAAACGAAAAGGAUAAAAAAAAUGCAAAAAAUCAAACCACACCAAAAGGCAAACUACACAAAAUACCAAGAAUAUAAAAUGCUUCCCCCUCCAUUCUCCCCUUCUAUAUCGACCUCAAAUCUUCAAAAAUUGUUUUCAUCCUUAAAAAUCACACUAUACUAUAUUGAUUUUGAUAAUGAUGAUGAUCAUCAAUUGUAGGGGCCCAACAACAACCUUAUACUUUACACUUUGUUUGUUAUUCAAGAUUUUAAAUAUAUGCCACAAUUAUUUGUCAUCUACAACAACAAAAUGAAUUCAAUGAAAUUGAGUGAAUUAUAUACCACUUUGACCAUUCAACUCAAAUACACAGAGAUUUCAAUCAAAAGCUUUUACAGUGCCCACAAUAUACAUGUAAACACAAAAAGAAAACUACAAAAACUAACAAGUUUCACCGAUUUCUGCAUUAAAUAAACGACAAAAAUAUGAACAUAAUUCAUAGAACCAGACCAAUAUAAUGGUUUAAAGUUUUGGAUUCAUAGUAAAUAGACUCAAAAAAGUAUUAGAACAUGACCAUUCAUCUUUCGAAGGAGUCCCAACCUAUUUACACUAAACAUACAAACAUAUACAUAUGAUAUAUACAUUCAGAAAAUUAAAAGGAAAAUCAAGAUGUUUUGAUGUCAGUAUAUAUGCGAAUCAUAAUAAUUUUCCAUUAGAUUUAUAUGUUCUAUAACCAAUAUUAAAUGUUCGAUGUUAAACAAAACGUUCGAUAAGUGUCAAAGUAUUGGUGUUGAAAGUUCGACCGAUUGUUGAAAGAUGAAAAGGAAAUACGGAAUAAAAGUGCGAGGAAUUCUUGCAAUAGUUUGAUUGAUGACAAACAAUUUUGAAAAUACCCACUCCAUACUAUAUAUCUAAAAAUUUGUGUUACUAUAUUAAUCUGUACUUUUAGUCAAUGGCGAAUCCUUCUAAACUUAAAUCAGUUAAAAGAAAUGCAUUUGAAAAGAGUGCAACGCAACUCAUUUUUGCGACAUCGAAUUGAGAGAAAUUUAUGCAAAAUACACUUUCAUGCAUAUAAUAAAAAUUACAAUUUUUCGAUGGUAUAAUUAAACAUUGCGUUUGGAAGGUAUAGAACAAUUACACGUUACACACAAUGGAAGCAUUUACUCACUAAAAAAUACUCCAGAUGGGUGUACGCAAUCUGUUUAAAGUGAAAUCAAUUAAUUAGAACCAAUUUAAUAAAAUAAAUACAAACGUUUCCCUAGUUGAUGCAAAACUUAUUUAAAGAAAAUUAGAACCGAACAUUCAGUAAAUUUCAAGCAAACCAAUAAGAAAUAAAUUCAUUCCACAUAUAUAACCACAUAUACAUUAUUUGUCCUAUACAUUAUUAGGUGAAUAUAUUUAAUGCAGGCAGAAGAAAUUCAUUAAUAUUAUACCCACUUAUAAAUUUAAAAUUGAUCGAAACCAAUUGUAUAAUUCUAAAAUUACAAAAUAAAUGACAACAACAAUUCAGUAAUAA